UACGAAGGGGAGCUAGCGUUGUUCGGAAUUACUGGGCGUAAAGCGCGCGCAGGCGGCUAUCCAAGUCAGUGGUGAAAGCCCGGAGCUCAACUCCGGAACUGCCAUUGAACUGUUAAGCUUGAGGACGAGAGAGGUGAGUGGAAUUCCCAGUGUAGAGGUGAAAUUCGUAGAUAUUAGGGAAGAACACCGGUGGCGAAGGCGGCUACACUGGCUCGUAUCUGACGCUCAGGCGCGACAGCG
rnacentral:rRNA from 1 species